UACGAAGGGGGCUAGCGUUGUUCGGAAUCACUGGGCUUAAAGCGUGUGUAGGCGGAUCGUUAAGUGCCUUGUGAAAUCCCACGGCUCAACCGUGGAACUGCUUGGCAUACUGGCGAUCUUGAGCCACUUAGGGGCUACCGGAACAAAUGGUGGAGCGGUGAAAUGCGUAGAUAUCAUUUGGAACGCCAAUGGUGAAAACAGGUAGCUGGGAGUGUGCUGACGCUGAGACACGAAAGCCAGGGGAGCAAACGGG
rnacentral:rRNA from 1 species